UACGGAGGGUGCGAGCGUUGUCCGGAAUCACUGGGCGUAAAGGGCGCGUAGGCGGCAUGCCAAGCGUGUGGUGAAAGCCCGGGGCUCAACCCCGGGUCGGCCGUGCGGACUGGCGUGCUCGAGCACUGUAGGGGCGGGUGGAAUUCCGGGUGUAGCGGUGGAAUGCGCAGAUAUCAGGAGGAACACCGGUGGCGAAGGCGGGUCUCUGGGCCAUUACUGACGCUGAGGAGCGAAAGCGUGGGGAGCGAACAGG
rnacentral:rRNA from 1 species